UCCCUGAUGGUCUAGUGGCUACGAUUCGGCGCUCUCACCGCUGCGGCCCGGGUUCGAUUCCCAGUCAGGGAA
rnacentral:tRNA from 1 species